UUUAUUAGUAUUAGGAUAUGAUUAGAACAUUAGAUUCCAUUGGCCGUACGAAUCGCUGCAACGAUCUGCGUGCCUGGGCGUUGCGACGUGGUCAUUAUAAGUGUUAAUGUUGAAAAAUUCUAAAUUGCAUGGUAAGCACGCAUAGCCUUUCAAAUUGUGAAUGGUAUUAUGGCCUCUAGUUUCCAAGUGCUUGUUAUAUUCACCACGUUUAUUUGUCGUGAAGUUGCAUGCUACGCAUCGAAAUCCACCGAUCGUUUUUUUGUUUUUACAAAAAGGAACAUGAAUAUCAUAUAUCUUCUGAUUGUACGUGUGGAACACACAAUGCGGGCAUGUUUUUAGAAUAAUUGGUCCACUACAGCCUUCUUCGUGCGUGUUAGCAUUAUGAUCAGAAGAGAAUCUAGCACCACACAGCUUGGAGCAAGAGAAAGGUUUCUCACCUGUGUGGGAUCGAAUGUGAACAAUUAAGGCGUUUGCACAUUGGCAAAUUUUGUUACAAUAUGGACAUUCGUUAUUGCGACCUGUAGUAGUUGGUGGACUGCAUACCAUUUUUGGUGAAUCUGUGACUGCUGGAUAAGCAGUUGUUGCAAUUCGGUUUGAACAUUUGAUAUUAAUAUGAUCGCUGAGUGCCAUAUUUGCAGUAUACAGAGGUUCAGCAGUCUGAUUAAACUGUUGCAUUGUCUUGGAAAUGAAAACAUAGUCUAGUCUGGAUGUUGUUAUUCCGUCAAUGUAACGAGAAUAAGCAUGCCGUGUAUAAAUAUUUUCAGGCCACAGCUUCUGCAUUACAUUCAUAAAUCCAUGCUUUUUAAAUGUGUGCUCCAAUUGGUCAUACAUUAAAGACCGUCCAUCAGGUUUACCCGAUGUCAGUUUCUGCAUAUUAAAAUCACCCAGCCAAAUGACGAACUUGUCAGCAAGUUUUGCCGACAAAGCAUCAAUGACGCCCAAUUUUGUCGUUCAGCUUGGCGUCCAAGUUUCGUUGAAUUGCAUGGAAAAUAAAGGUUGAGAAAAAUAAUUUCUUCGUUAAUUAAACUACUUUUAACUUUAACCAUCAUUAAUCUCUCAGAAUUGGUCGGUGAGAUAAUAUCGGGAAAAGUUUUUGCUAUGUCAAUAUGCUCAACCUCCACAUUUUUGUAGAACAUGCAUGUACCAUAGUUCCACCAUGUUGUAUUUGUGGGAGAUGGUGUGGAGGCAUUGAAUUCACAAUUAAAACCUCGUUUUCCAAUUAAUUCCACAAACAACGAUUCUUUAGAAGGAUCUAGUUUGGUUUCCUGAAUGAAAACAAGAUCACUACUAAUCCAGAAAGGUAGCAUAGAUUCAACUUUAACUUUAUUCAAACCAUCACAAUUCCAAAAAUUGUAAUUCAAUGAAUUAGUAUUGUCAACAUUUGACAUUUUCAUUUUUUUUAACAUUUUGAGGUCACAAAGUCCCACACUUUACCGCACAAAGCAGUUAGGUUUUAAACCGAACAAAGCAGUUAGGUUUCAAACCGCACAAAGCAGUUAGGUUUCAAACCGCACAAAGCGACUUUAUUAAAGAGUAACAAUAAAUCAAAUAAUUAUUUAAAUCCACACUAAACAACACAGCAACGAAAUCGACGAUGACGCGGACGUAUCCGUUGAAAACAGGAUUUCUGCAAUUCCAUAAAAAAUAUCAGAUGGAUAGAUUAUUAUUCAUUUCUGCUAACCUAGCUUUAUGUUUAGCACGAGUCAUGGCAUAUGUAACCGUCAGUCUUCCUGACACUCGAUAACUCUCAUAAAACUUAUCCGAUCGGGUUGAAAUUUUUACCAAAACUAUAUAGGGUGAAAGUUAAGAUCAAGGAAGAUGGACUAAAUCGGUGCAGUGGUUAACCGGUGUGUUUCUUUACCCCAAAGGGAAACCCUUUGGUUUUCAUCUUUGGUGCAGGAUAUUCGAUGAAUUUAUUUCGAUGAAAUUUGCUGUAAAAUGUUUAAAUCUGGCGCUAAAUUGCUUCUAAUAGAAGAUUGUGUGAUUGAAGUCACAUUGGAAACAUUCUCGGGAUCGAUUUUUUAUUAUUCUUAGAUCGAGCUGAAAUUAUGUAUGAGGGUUUGUAAGUACUUCUGGGAAGUCAAAUUAGAAUUAAAUUUCAUCAUUUGGAUGAUGAAAUGAAAAAUGAUUUCAUCAUUUUUUUCAUCAUCAUCCAAGAGGAUUACCCAUAUCGAUUUCUAAAAUUUGUCGUUUUAAGUUUUGUAUAGUAGAUAAAAAUUACUAUUGGGUGACAUUAUGUAAGCAGAUUGCUAAAAUAUUGCCAUUUACAAUCACAAAUGGAGUGCCCCCACUUCACAUUGGGGCCAAAACAUAAAAUUCUCGCCACAUUCAAUUUUACAAACAACCUCCAAUCCCAGUGUAGUGUGAUGUGUCCAAAAAUUAAGCAAUUAAUUCUGUGAAAUGUAUUAUUACCUUCGAUAAACAUUUAACACAACCAAAAAUGCGAAAAAACGAAGAAAAGCGACGACAUCGCGGAUGCACUCGUUGAUCUGCAAAUCAAAAAUUAAAAUCAGAUGGUUGGAUUAAUUAAUCUUGCUAACCUAGCUUCAUUUUAAUUGUACUCAACUAAUAAUUCAGUAAAAUGUACGAUUGAAGGAAAUCUAUCGUUUACCUUCGAUAAACGUCGGAAAACAAUUCGAAAAAACGAAGAAAACUGACGACGACGCGGGCGCACUUGUCGAAAAACGGGCUUGCUGUAAAAUUAAUUAGCUAUAACUUUGCUAACCUAGCUUUAAUACUUUUACUUGCCGAAUGUAUGUGAAUUUGACUUACAUCAGAUGGCAAAACCAAUAAACUUUGGCGAUGAUGGGAAGAAUCUUUGGCGAAUGUUUUGCGAUACUGCAACAAUACACGAAAAAUAAUAAUUGAUUGAUUGACAAGACCUUCAUAAUGAUCAUUAUGAAGGUCUUGUCAAUUGAUAGAUUGUCUAUUACCGAAUAUAUCUUUAGAGAGCGAAAAAACAUCAACCCUGUACAUCUAAAAGUAAUAGAGUUAGUGAGAGAGUAGUGAUGGUGGCGGAUUUCCAAUAAACGUUUCGCUGCCAGCUCACUCACUUCUGAACGAGUGUACAGGGUAGAUGUUUUUUCGCUCUCUGAAGAUAAAUUCGGUAAUCUCUAUUUAAUUAUCAAUCUAUCAAUUGGAAAGCCAUUAAUAAUAACUUUUUUCGUGUAUUGUUCACAUAAACAGUAUCGCAGAACAUUCGUCCCAUUAUCGCCAAAGUUAAUUGGUUUUAUCCUGUUACCUGUGAACGCCGUCCUCGGUUUUCUUCGUUUUUUCGCAAUUUUAGUGGUUGAUCCUCAAAGAUGGAAUACAUGGAAUUGUCUUACAAGGGACACCCUGACGGCCUGCGUCGUGCAAUCCUUGGGGAUAUAGGAGGG